CGUGUGCUCUUCCGAUCGUACAUAAGGGUGCGACCACACCUGGAGCAGGAAAACAGAGAACAGCUACCCACUUUUAUGACGACUCUGGGUCACAUACCCAGUGUCACACACUACCUCAUGCCCCACCUCUUAUAAAGGCCGUAUUCUUCCCUAGCCCACUUCUGCUACCCUGCUUUCAACCCUUGACUCUUAGGGACACACCCCAGAC